GAUGAAGAACGUAGCGAAAUGCGAUAAGUAAUGUGAAUUGCAGAAUUCAGUGAAUCAUCGAAUCUUUGAACGCACAUUGCGCCCGUCAGUAUUCUGGCGGGCAUGCCUGUUCGAGCGUCAUUACGCCCCUCAAGUCCCCUGUGGACUUGGUGUUGGGGAUCGGCGAGGCUGGUUAUCCAGCACAGCCGUCCCUUAAAUUAAUUGGCGGUCUCGCCGUGGCCCUCCUCUGCGCAGUAGUAAAACACUCGCAACAGGAGCCCGGCGCGGUCCACUGCCGUAAAACCCCCCAACUUUUUAUAGUUGACCUCGAAUCAGGUAGGACUACCCGCUGAACUUAAGCAUAUCAAUAAGCGGAGGA
rnacentral:misc_RNA from 1 species